rnacentral:lncRNA from 1 species
AUUUAUAAGCAUUUUUAUCAUAAAAAAAAGCAUAUAGUGUGUCCACAUUGAAAUUCCAGGAUUUUAACAGUAUGGUUAAAAAUCAAAAUUAUGUUGUACUGUGAUAAUUGUAAUGCCAAUUGGAAGGGAAAGUCAUCAAGUUAUUAGCCUGAUAAUUUUAUUUUUCCUACUACUACAUAUUUCAAGGUGCUGCAGUCAUUGACAUUCAAAAUGCUUCUCCCACAAGAAAAGACUUGUGUUUUUGAUGGUAUGCAGAAUUUAAAUCUGUGGUAGCUAUGCAACAGAAGUUCAGGCAAGGGUACCAUAGAGAUUCUCCAACUGACAAGAUAAGCAUUGGUGUGAUUUGUUUUUUGGGAACUAGCAGUGUUGUAAAGCAGUAUGACAGUAGUCACAAAGUGUUAAAGGAAAAUGGGCAGCACAUUCAGAAGAUAUUUUGCCACACCCCAUGCAAGUCUAUCAGACAGGCAUCAUUGAGCUGUAGCUUCCAAAAUUCACUAUCCAUUAAGUUGAUCAGUGAUUGAUGUUCUAUGCAUACGAAAUCCAGCUACUAAGAGUUGAAAUCUAAUGACAAGCUAUCAGGGUAGCUUUUAUAAAUGCUAUAUUUACUUGUAUUGAUGUGAAACAGAAUUUCCUGUCAUGUUUGUUUCUUUAUGGGACAUUUCACAUAUUAAAAUAUGUGAAUCAUCACAUCUGAAUUUGGGAUUCAGAAAACCCACAUUUCAUUCAAAAAGUAUAUUCAGGAUAGCCUGAAAAUUAAUAUGUGAUGCAGUCUGAUGGAGAUAGGAAUAAUUAGAUCUAUCUUCUUUGCUGAAGCAAUGGUGGCAGGUGUAACUUACCUGGAUAUGUUAGAACAAUUUGCUUUUCCCAUCUUCAGAAGAUCAAUGGUGACCUUUUCUUUCAGCAACACAGCAUUGCUCUACACUAAAAAUUGAAGUUCGUGAAUGCUGGGCAGAAAUUUCCCUGGUUGCUAGAUUGGACAGGAGGACCAAUUUCAUGGCCGUCCAGGUCCCAGACCUAACUCUUCUGGAUUUCUUUUUAUAAGAUUUGUUAAAGACAAAGUUUACAGUGUGAAAAUGUGCAACUUGAAACAUCCCCAUGAAAGAAUCACUGAGGCAAUUGUGUCAGAUUAGAUAUACUCCACAUUUGACAAGAAACUGGGUUCCAGUUCAAUAUUGUCACCAUCACUAAUGGAGCACAUAUGGAAAUUAUGUAAUUUUUUUUGAAAAACUUGGUGAGUUUUCUGGUUUUGUACAUAUUUUACUGUCAUAUCAUGACAGUAAAAUGUGUACAAAACCAGACCAUGAGUAAUAGCUCUGGAGUAAUAGCAAAAAUAAAUCCCAAAGCUUCGAUGUGGACAUCCUGCAUCAUAAUAUAUUAAAAUUUGUAUCAUUGCUACAAUAUAAAAUUUUGUAAAUAUAUUAUUUAAAAGUUAAAAUAUAAUUAAUAAUUGAGACUGCAAAAAAAUAUUGAUUUCAUACUUUUUCAAAAGUUGAAGUUUUAAUUUACAAAUUUUCCAAUGCUAACAGUAAUGAGCAAAUUUUUAUCAAUAAGUUUA